rnacentral:tRNA from 2 species
GGAGAGGUGCCAGAGUGGUUGAAUGGGCCGGUCUCGAAAACCGUUGUAAGAGCAAUCUUACCGAGAGUUCGAAUCUCUCCCUCUCCG